rnacentral:rRNA from 1 species
UGCGGCCUACGGGGGGCAGCAGUGGGGAAUGUUGCACAAUGGGGGGAACCCUGAUGCAGCGACGCCGCGUGAGUGAAGAAGUAUUUCGGUAUGUAAAGCUCUAUCAGCAGGGAAGAAAAUGACGGUACCUGACUAAGAAGCUCCGGCUAGAUACGUGCCAGCAGCCGCGGUAAUACGUAUGGAGCAAGCGUUAUCCGGAAUUACUGGGUGUAAAGGGAGCGUAGACGGAUGUGCAAGUCUGAUGUGAAAGGCGGGGGCUCAACCCCUGGACUGCAUUGGAAACUGUCAAUCUUGAGUGCCGGAGG